UACGUAGGGGGCAAGCGUUGUCCGGAUUUAUUGGGCGUAAAGAGCGUGUAGGCGGUUUGGUAGGUCCGCUGUGAAAACUCGAGGCUCAACCUCGAGACGCCGGUGGAAACCAUCAGACUAGAGUCCGGAAGAGGAGAGUGGAAUUCCACGUGUAGCAGUGAAAUGCGUAGAGAUGUGGAGGAACACCAAUGGCGAAGGCAGCACUCUGGGACGUGACUGACGCUGAGACGCGAAAGCGUGGGAGCAAACAGG
rnacentral:rRNA from 1 species